AAGUCGUAACAAGGUUUCCGUAGGUGAACCUGCGGAAGGAUCAUUAUUGAAUUCGCGUGGCAAAGUUGUUGCUGGUCCAAUGUGGCAUGUGCACACUUUGUAACCCACUUCAAAUACCUGUGAACUUUUUGUAGUCUUGGGGGAUGCUACAGCUCAAAGGAAACUUUGGAUUUGAGUGCUGCAGGCUUGCAAAAGUCGGCUUCAUUCUACAGCUGAACCCGAUUCUAUGUUUUAUAUACCCCAAUUUGUAUGUCUAUGAAUGUGAUUAGAGGGCUUUAAUGCCUUUAAAUCUUAUACAACUUUCAGCAACGGAUCUCUUGGCUCUC
rnacentral:misc_RNA from 1 species